CUUCUUUCAUAGUAAUUUUCCUUCAUACUUUUUGCCAGUAUGGUCGUGAAAUAGGUCUUAAAUUCUAUUCAAAGUGGUCCUAAAAGGUCUUAAAAAGUCUUAAAUUUAUCUUGUUAAAACCUGUAGGAACCCUGGAGUGAAGUAGAAAUACUCCAUUAUUAAAUUAAACAAACUCCGACAGUAAAACCAAAAAUAAACAACAAUUUCUAGGACUGAAAAGCAGCACUGAACGGCCCGAGCACAUUCAUUUUGAAGCGUUGCAUGAGUUUUGCGCACUGCAGAGAGGAUGAAAGCUUAAAUUCCUGCGUGCGUCACAUGAUGUUGGCCUUCAUCAAAAACAUAAAACAGACUGCACACAUUGUCAGGUGGUCUCCAGAUGGAGAUAAAUAUGAGGUGGUGGUAGAUGACGAGGUGAACAUCUACGACCUGGAGACGGCGAUCGGUGAAGGGAACAAUCAUGAACCCCAAAAGAAUCUUGUCUGUUAAGUUCUUAAAUAACUCUGCCGUCGCAGGAGAUGAUGAGAUUGUGAGGUUGUGUGAAUUGGAAAAACUGAAAUGCAUGUGAGCUGGAACCUCCCACCCUCCUCGUGGAAGUGAACACCUCGGCCCAGGCUGAUGUUCCUCGCCGUGUGGAAACCUUCAUCGGUGCAGCCGCCCGCUGAGGAACCAGCAGCUGCUGCGACGACAUCUGAAGAACUCGCUCGAGAGCUUUCAAACAGCAAGAGAGUUCGAAUGGCGACGGAAGUAGUCGUUCUGGAAGACGAGAGCAAACCCAGAAAGAAGAAGAAAAAGGCCGUUGGAAAAUGAAA